rnacentral:rRNA from 1 species
CACUUUCGUUCGGACCUCCGAUCAAGCAAGAG